rnacentral:lncRNA from 1 species
CGCCCCCGCCGCUCCGCCUUCGCGCCCCAGCCGCCCCAUGGACGGACUACAAGUCCCAGCAGGUUGUGCGGCCCGCGCAAGCGCGGGAGGGCCACGCCGCUCCGGCCCCCCGCAGCCGCUCGUGGGUCCCUGCGGAGCUGUCGCCGCGGCCUGGCUGGCGGCCUGGGGCUCUCGGGAGCUCUGUAGCGGAGAGGAAGGCGGCCGAGGGAAAAGCGAGCUUAGUGCAGCUCUUGUUGAGGCGUGGAGCUACAGGCGGCUGCAAGACCCUCUGGGCCAACCCUCUGUUUGCCCGGUUUGCAGAGGGAAACUGAGGCGGGGGCAAGGGCGCGCAGGAUUGCCUUUCCCCUCGUGAGCAGGGUAGGAUUCGGGCACGGGGCUCCUGACUCCAGGUCUAAGGCCGCACACCCCAGGCUCUGGCGCGCCGCCCCGGCUGGCGCCUUGGUCUGGCUCGACUGGCGCCCGGGGAGGGGGCGCGUCCCACGCCAGGGCAGUCCGGGCCCAGCCCCCGCUGUGACCGACUGCCCUCUGUGACGUCAGGUGCCCAGCACAGGGCGUGGGUCCGGGUACACGAGAGGGAAGGCCCCUGGGUGGGAGCAGGCUGAUCCCCCUGGGUGCCUGGUACUGACAAAUGCUGGGCUGUAGGGGUGCAGAGGGCCUGGCUGGAGGAGCAUUCAGGAGGCAGAAUCUCCCCGACCUGGUGCUGCAUAGGGAGGAGGGGCCGGGGCUAUUUGGAGAUGCUGUCAACAGGGACGAGGGCUGGCGGCAGAAAAUGCGGAGUCUGCAUGGAAUACUGAGAAAAAGGUGCUGUCGUCCAUGCGUCUCAGGACCAUCAGUCUCUUCACUGCACCGCCCCCUGGUGGUGGGGUACUCUCCCUGCGGGCACACACCAAGGAGCGCUAAAUCCUCCACCGCCCCAGCCUGGACGCCCAGCCCAGGACAGGCGGCCAGAGGAUGCCCUCAGCAAAGAGCACCCCAGCACCUGCCUUCAGCCAGCGCCAAGGGAGAGGAAGGAGGGGACGACUCCGUACGCCGUCUCUAACCAUCCCCCGCCCCUUCCUGGUAUUUGAGCAUCCGAGUUUCCGUUCAGAGGCCACCAUCCCUCCGCCAUGUGGCCCCAGUAAGAAGUCCCCCACGGACUUCCCAGUAAGCUGGCCCCAGCUCCGAAGGUUCUGACGGGUCUAAGGGUGACCCCAUCCCCCUGGAGACAAAGAUCAGCUACACCAGACAGCAGCCAGCAUUCCCUGGACACAGGACUUUCUCCAGGAACGGCAUACGACCCAGUUCAGAGCAAUGGGAUGUGAGUGGUGGCUUGCUGAGGAAUGCUGGAGAGGAUGCUCCUCCCGUUUAGGAGAGAAGAUCCCCUGUCUCCUGGUCUGGAUGUACACCACUGACAGCUGUUGCAAUUUUGUUUCCACACUGACAACCUGAGAAGGAAGCCAGCACCGAGAGGAAAUCGUGGAGAAGUGGGGCCAGAGCCCCUGGAUCGAGCCAAACCUGAGGCCCAUCUACCUCUGGACUUCCAGGUCCAUGAGCCAAAGAAGCCCUUAUUUGAGCCACUUGGACUUGAGUUUUUUGUUGUUUAUGACACCCUAAAACCCCCAAGCCGUCAGUGUUGGGAGGCCUCCUGAGGAAGAGGUCUCAGACCAAGGGUCCCAUUUUGCAUCAAGGAAUGUGUGACAUUGACCCCCAGACCAUGGGUUCUGCUUGUCCUGCCACAAACCACAUCUCUGGGAAGCUGCCAGCUGACAGAAUGCCGCCCCCCCCCCCCCCCCCAAGCCUCAGCACAGGGACUGUCCACUGCGGGUCUGGGCUGUUUUCCAGGAUGCAGCAUGUGCACUGAACCAACGGGCAGUGCGCCGAGUCCAGAACAAGGGGUCAAAGCGCCAUAGAUCUCCGGGGGAGCAAGCCCCAGGAGUCUGCAGGGGUGGCCCACUCGAUAAUGCCACCGUCGUCGCUGCCCUCCGCCUGCGGCCCUCUCCUCUGCCCCACUCCUGUCCCUGGGGUCACUUUCACAGUCGACUUCCUCCUCAAAGCCCUGUCUGCCUUUCCGGAGUGAGUGGGGCUGGGGAGGGAGACCGGGCCACGACAGGGAGGGUCAGGGAGCCAGCAGAAGGAGAGGGGGCUGCCAAGGCUGGUGGGGCCCGUCCUGGAGGAGCCGUGAAUGCCAGGCACAGAUCCGGCAGCUGGGCUUCUUGGAAUGCUAGCCAAGCAAGAGGCUGAGUCUCAGGCCUGAGCCAUUCGAGGAACUGCAGCUGUGGACUGGACCUGAGAGAGACAGAGACGACAGAGACCCCGGCCAUCACACAGGCACAGGGAG